rnacentral:rRNA from 1 species
UUAAGCGACCAAGCGUACACGGUGGAUGCCCUGGCAGUCAGAGGCGAUGAAGGACGUGCUAAUCUGCGAAAAGCGCCGGUAAGGUGAUAUGAACCGUUAUAACCGGCGAUGUCCGAAUGGGGAAACCCAGUGUGACUCGUCACACUAUCAUUAACUGAAUCCAUAGGUUAAUGAGGCGAACCGGGGGAACUGAAACAUCUAAGUACCCCGAGGAAAAGAAAUCAACCGAGAUUCCCCCAGUAGCGGCGAGCGAACGGGGAGCAGCCCAGAGCCUGAAUCAGCAUAUGUGUUAGUGGAAGCGUCUGGAAAGGCGCGCGAUACAGGGUGACAGCCCCGUACACAAAAGCGCAUAUGCUGUGAGCUCGAUGAGUAGGGCGGGACACGUGAUAUCCUGUCUGAAUAUGGGGGGACCAUCCUCCAAGGCUAAAUACUCCUGACUGACCGAUAGUGAACCAGUACCGUGAGGGAAAGGCGAAAAGAACCCCGGCGAGGGGAGUGAAACAGAACCUGAAACCGUGUACGUACAAGCAGUGGGAGCCCCACCACUAAGCCAGUGGUGAACUCCACAUACGCAUCCUUUGCGGAAGAUGCGGUUAACGGAGCGAAAGCGACGUUCAACCGCAAAAGAAGCAGAGGGGGCUUAGUGGUGGGGUGACUGCGUACCUUUUGUAUAAUGGGUCAGCGACUUAUAUUCUGUAGCAAGGUUAACCGUAUAGGGGAGCCGCAGGGAAACCGAGUCUUAACCGGGCGUUAAGUUGCAGGGUAUAGACCCGAAACCCGGUGAUCUAGCCAUGGGCAGGUUGAAGGUUGGGUAACACUAACUGGAGGACCGAACCGACUAAUGUUGAAAAAUUAGCGGAUGACCUGUGGCUGGGGGUGAAAGGCCAAUCAAACCGGGAGAUAGCUGGUUCUCCCCGAAAGCUAUUUAGGUAGCGCCUCGUGAACUCAUCUCCGGGGGUAGAGCACUGUUUCGGCCAGGGGGCCAUCCCGGCUUACCAACCCGAUGCAAACUGCGAAUACCGGAGAAUGUUAUCACGGGAGACACACGGCGGGUGCUAACGUCCGUCGUGAAGAGGGAAACAACCCAGACCGCCAGCUAAGGUCCCAAAGUCAUGGUUAAGUGGGAAACGAUGUGGGAAGGCCCAGACAGCCAGGAUGUUGGCUUAGAAGCAGCCAUCAUUUAAAGAAAGCGUAAUAGCUCACUGGUCGAGUCGGCCUGCGCGGAAGAUGUAACGGGGCUAAACCAUGCACCGAAGCUGCGGCAGCGACACUGUGUGUUGUUGGGUAGGGGAGCGUUCUGUAAGCCUGCGAAGGUGGCCUGUGAGGGUUGCUGGAGGUAUCAGAAGUGCGAAUGCUGACAUAAGUAACGAUAAUGCGGGUGAAAAACCCGCACGCCGGAAGACCAAGGGUUCCUGUCCAACGUUAAUCGGGGCAGGGUGAGUCGACCCCUAAGGCGAGGCCGAAAGGCGUAGUCGAUGGGAAACGGGUUAAUAUUCCCGUACCUGGUGUUACUGCGAAGGGGGGACGGAGAAGGCUAUGUUGGCCGGGCGACGGUUGUCCCGGUUUAAGCGUGUAGGCUGGUUUUCCAGGCAAAUCCGGAAAAUCAAGGCUGAGGCGUGACGACGAGGCACUACGGUGCUGAAGCAACAAAUGCCCUGCUUCCAGGAAAAGCCUCUAAGCCUCAGGUAACAUCAGAUCGUACCCGAAACCGACACAGGUGGUCAGGUAGAGAAUACCAAGGCGCUUGAGAGAACCCGGGUGAAGGAACUAGGCAAAAUGGUGCCGUAACUUCGGGAGAAGGCACGCUGACACGUAGGUGAAGCGGUUUACCCGUGGAGCUGAAGUCAGUCGAAGAUACCAGCUGGCUGCAACUGUUUAUUAAAAACACAGCACUGUGCAAACACGAAAGUGGACGUAUACGGUGUGACGCCUGCCCGGUGCCGGAAGGUUAAUUGAUGGGGUCAGCGCAAGCGAAGCUCCUGAUCGAAGCCCCGGUAAACGGCGGCCGUAACUAUAACGGUCCUAAGGUAGCGAAAUUCCUUGUCGGGUAAGUUCCGACCUGCACGAAUGGCGUAAUGAUGGCCAGGCUGUCUCCACCCGGGACUCAGUGAAAUUGAACUCGCUGUGAAGAUGCAGUGUACCCGCGGCAAGACGGAAAGACCCCGUGAACCUUUACUAUAGCUUGACACUGAACACUGGUCCUUGAUGUGCAGGAUAGGUGGGAGGCUUUGAAGUGUGGACGCCAGUCUGCAUGGAGCCGUCCUUGAAAUACCACCCUUUAAUGGCUGGUGUUCUAACGUAGACCCGUGAACCGGGUUGCGGACAGUGUCUGGUGGGUAGUUUGACUGGGGCGGUCUCCUCCUAAAGCGUAACGGAGGAGCACGAAGGUUGGCUAAUCCUGGUCGGACAUCAGGAGGUUAGUGCAAUGGCAUAAGCCAGCUUGACUGCGAGCGUGACGGCGCGAGCAGGUGCGAAAGCAGGUCAUAGUGAUCCGGUGGUUCUGAAUGGAAGGGCCAUCGCUCAACGGAUAAAAGGUACUCCGGGGAUAACAGGCUGAUACCGCCCAAGAGUUCAUAUCGACGGCGGUGUUUGGCACCUCGAUGUCGGCUCAUCACAUCCUGGGGCUGAAGUAGGUCCCAAGGGUAUGGCUGUUCGCCAUUUAAAGUGGUACGCGAGCUGGGUUUAGAACGUCGUGAGACAGUUCGGUCCCUAUCUGCCGUGGGCGCUGGAGAACUGAGGGGGGCUGCUCCUAGUACGAGAGGACCGGAGUGGACGCAUCACUGGUGUUCGGGUUGUCAUGCCAAUGGCACUGCCCGGUAGCUAAAUGCGGAAGAGAUAAGUGCUGAAAGCAUCUAAGCACGAAACUUGCCCCGAGAUGAGUUCUCCCUGAGACUUUAGUCUCCUGAAGGAACGUUGAAGACGACGACGUUGAUAGGCCGGGUGUGUAAGCGCAGCGAUGCGUUGAGCUAACCGGUACUAAUGAACCGUGAGGCUUAACCUU